UGCAAAAAAUUUAAGAACCUUCACUGUUAUUAAGAACACGCCAACAUUCCAUACUUGAUCUUCAACUAACGUGAAGCACUAAAAGUUGCAUGACAUGGAUAAAUUCGUUUCAGAAAGCUUUGACUGUCUACUGACUGACUCUGGUUAUGAAAGACUGUCACGAAGCAGAUUUUAAUUCUGUUAUCUCUGAACAGCUGAGCAGCUUGGUAACUGCUGUUAAACGCACUUUCCAGUGUCUAAUGCAUGAAGCAAACCAUGUCUUACCCUCUGGGAUCUUGAUCAGCAGGGUGGAACAGCUGGUGUUUAUUACUGAUGGGUUAGCCCCAGAGAAUUUAGGGGUCCACUGAGUUGGUUUAAAGUGUGCAUUCUCUCGGUACCUAAUAAAAAAUUGUAUAUUUUCUGAUAAUCACACAUUUAAGUUACUAGUAACUCAGUGUUAGACUGAUAAUGUUUAACUGAAGUCCAUCUUUAUAUCAACCCUUGAGAAUCUUUCCAAAAUCAAUUAAAAUAAAAGCAAUAAGUGGUAAUAUUUUACCAUAUAAGCUUUAGAAGACUUACUUUACUGAAAACAGUUGCAGAAGCCUCAUAUUGAUAUGUAUAAGUAAUGACUGCCCAAUUGCCCAAAGGGCAUUUUACAUUAAACUUCACAAAGAUUCAGGUGUCUCUGAAAACAGUAUUCUAAAAGAGACAUUUUUCUUCUCAGAAAAACAACAGUUCGUUGUUUCAGCAUAACUGUGAUUUAUUCUCAGAAGUACCACCUACGGUCAGUAGUUUUUCCAGUGAAGAACAAAUUCAACAAACACAUGAGCAUGUGAGUUCUCCUAUUUAGGUCCAAGGGCUUCACACACUGAGCAACCUCAGAUGUUUAUGACCAGCCCAGGAUCAGUCUCACAGCGCCAUGGUGACCCUAUAAUCCUGAAGUGUGUGAAAAAAGAAAAAUUCAUAGAACUCUUCCUGUUGUAUUUCUAAAGAUUUCUUUUUCAUUUACUGUUGAAGUUGCCACUUUAAUUUGCCUAUGAAACUAAAUGUAUCUUAAUUGUUGUUAAAAUUGAAGUAAAAUGUUAUUUUCCUAGCAUCACUGAUUGGUGAGAAAGAGCUGUUAUCCCCAUACUAUGAUGGGAAAAUUGAGCAUGUCUACAUUGCAGAACACCAGACACAAAUGAGCACCUCUGCCAGCAGAAGCCAUCUCACACAGGUCUUAUUCUCUUCCUGCCAUAUCCACACUUGUGCUGUGCAGGCACACUGAUAGCACUGUCAAAAAGUUAAUUCCUGUUAAAAUUAACUGCUUUACUGGCAAGUUAGUGUUAAUUUGAUGACUUUUCUGCUUUGGUUCAGUCUGCUGUUGCACAAACUCUUAUGUAAGCAAAAGGGAAAGAUGACUUGGGGGCAAUAGGGGGAAGGAACAGAUCUGGUGGAACACAGGCUGCUUUGGUCAUCAGAGGAGCCUGCUGUCAGCUCAUCGUGUUUACAGAACUAAAGCAUAAGCUUACCCUUAAAAGCAAUUCUAUAUCUGACUUUCUCUGAAAUCAAUGCUCUGAAUAUAUCUGAUAUGUCAGAUGUUUCUAAUAGUACAUAUAAUAACAUAAAUAUGCUUCCUAAGAAUACAUACAAAAAGCCAUUUCAAUCCCAGAGGACAAGGAAGCCUUUUAGGAGUAGGAAAAAUCUCAUAGAUUUAACCAAUAUAACAAUGCUAAUAAAUGAAAUAAAGAAAUGUGCAGCUUGUCCUGAGAAUGGUACUGUCAAAAAAACCUCUUCCACAAUCUGUUUCUGCACUGGUGGGAGGAGGGACUGUUUUGUAGGGUGAUUCCUUUUAAUCAUAUACAUGCCUUAAGGGCACAAGAUGCUGGCAACGUGGCCAAUCCAAAAGAGAUCGUGGAUUAAUGCUUGUGAAAAGCAGUCCUAGCUAUUCCUUUGUGCAUUGUCCAAACAGCAAAUGAUAACACUGCCUUAAGUCACCCAGUGUUACACCUUCCUAUCCAUAGUGUGAUUCUCCCAAAAAGUUGGACAGAAAUCAGUUUUGUUUCUCUGUCUGCAUUCUCUCUUCUGUGUAACUUCAUCUGUUCAGGUUUUCUCUGUAGUACAGCACACACUGCUGAUGCUGAGGGUCCUGCAUGACAGGAGCAGAAUGACAGAACCUUUCACUGAGAAAUGCAGAAAAGCUAUCUUGUCUAAGUGCUGCAUGUCAAGCCAGUGAUGAGGCAUGCACUCUAAAUGCAUUUAUUCCUGAAUUGUUGCAAUUAGGUCCUUCAGUUCACUAGCUUCAUGGUAACGUUUUCCAUUUUUCUAUGAAAAGAAAUAAUAAAAAAAAAAAGGAUGGAAAAUGAAGAACAUCUUGAAUUCAGGACUUACGUGUCACAGUGCUGGAGUGAGAAUGAGUAGAAAGGAACAGAGUGCGAAGAGAAGAAUAAGAUAAAAAUGGAAAGCAGAAAUCCUGAGCUGGCCCCACUGAACAACGUGUUCAAACAGCUCUCACACCAACCUCAACUGAGAGAGUGGAUUUUAAAUAAAU
ensembl:lncRNA